UACGUAGGGGGCAAGCGUUGUCCGGAUUUAUUGGGCGUAAAGAGCGUGUAGGCGGCCUGGAAGGUCAGCUGUGAAAACUCGAGGCUCAACCUCGAGACGUCGGUUGAAACCACCUGGCUAGAGUCCGGAAGAGGAGAGUGGAAUUCCCGGUGUAGCGGUGAAAUGCGCAGAUAUCGGGAAGAACACCCGUGGCGAAAGCGGCUUCCUGGUCCAGCACCGACGUUCAGGCACGAAAGCGUGGGGAGCAAACAGG
rnacentral:rRNA from 1 species